UCUUACUUGCAGAAGUGAGAUGCUGUUCAGG
rnacentral:piRNA from 1 species